rnacentral:rRNA from 1 species
AUUGAACGCUGGCGGCAGGCCUAACACAUGCAAGUCGAACGGUAACAGGAAGAAGCUUGCUUCUUUGCUGACGAGUGGCGGACGGGUGAGUAAUGUCUGGGAAACUGCCUGAUGGAGGGGGAUAACUACUGGAAACGGUAGCUAAUACCGCAUAACGUCGCAAGACCAAAGAGGGGGACCUUCUGGCCUCUUGCCAUCGGAUGUGCCCAGAUGGGAUUAGCUAGUAGGUGGGGUAACGGCUCACCUAGGCGACGAUCCCUAGCUGGUCUGAGAGGAUGACCAGCCACACUGGAACUGAGACACGGUCCAGACUCCUACGGGAGGCAGCAGUGGGGAAUAUUGCACAAUGGGCGCAAGCCUGAUGCAGCAAUGCCGCGUGUAUGAAGAAGGCAUACGGGUUGUAAAGUACUUUCAGCGGGGAGGAAGGGAGUAAAGUUAAUACCUUUGCUCAUUGACGUUACCCGCAGAAGAAGCACCGGCUAACUCCGUG